rnacentral:rRNA from 1 species
UACGUAGGUGGCAAGCGUUGUCCGGAUUUAUUGGGUUUAAAGGGUGCGUAGGCGGCUUUGUAAGUCAGUGGUGAAAUAUGGCAGCUUAACCGUCAAGGUGCCAUUGAUACUGCAGAGCUUGAGUACAGAUGAGGUAGGCGGAAUUGACGGUGUAGCGGUGAAAUGCUUAGAUAUCGUCAAGAACACCUAUAGCGAAGGCAGCUUACUAAGCUGUAACUGACGCUGAGGCACGAAAGUGUGGGGAUCAAACAGG